UACAGAGGUGGCAAGCGUUGUUCGGAAUUACUGGGCGUAAAGGGCGCGUAGGCGGUCCUGUAAGUCCUGUGUGAAAUCCCCCGGCUCAACUGGGGAAUUGCACGAGAAACUGCGGGGCUUGAGUUCGGGAGAGGGAAGCGGAAUUCCGGGUGUAGCGGUGAAAUGCGUAGAUAUCCGGAGGAACACCGGUGGCGAAGGCGGCUUCCUGGACCGACACUGACGCUGAGGCGCGAAAGCUAGGGGAGCAAACGGG
rnacentral:rRNA from 1 species